rnacentral:rRNA from 1 species
CUGGCUCAGGACGAACGCUGGCGGCGUGCCUAAUACAUGCAAGUCGAGCGAAUGAUUAGAGAAGCUUGCUUCUCUCUGAUUUAGCGGCGGACGGGUGAGUAACACGUGGGUAACCUACCCUAUAGACUGGGAUAACUUCGGGAAACCGGAGCUAAUACCGGAUAAUACUUCGAAACACAUGUUUUGAAGUUGAAAGAUGGUUUCGGCUAUCACUAUAGGAUGGACCCGCGGCGCAUUAGCUAGUUGGUGAGGUAACGGCUCACCAAGGCAACGAUGCGUAGCCGACCUGAGAGGGUGAUCGGCCACACUGGGACUGAGACACGGCCCAGACUCCUACGGGAGGCAGCAGUAGGGAAUCUUCCACAAUGGACGAAAGUCUGAUGGAGCAACGCCGCGUGAAGUGAAGAAGGAUUUCGGUUCGUAAAACUCUGUUGCAAGGGAAGAACAAGUAGCGUAGUAACUGGCGCUACCUUGACGGUACCUUGUUAGAAAGCCACGGCUAACUACGUGCCAGCAGCAGC